rnacentral:rRNA from 1 species
GACGAACGCUGGCGGCGUGCUUAACACAUGCAAGUCGAACGGAAAGGCCCUGCUUUUGUGGGGUGCUCGAGUGGCGAACGGGUGAGUAACACGUGAGUAACCUGCCCUUGACUUUGGGAUGACUUCAGGAAACUGGGGCUAAUACCGGAUAGGAGCUCCUGCUGCAUGGUGGGGGUUGGAAAGUUUCGGCGGUUGGGGAUGGACUCGCGGCUUAUCAGCUUGUUGGUGGGGUAGUGGCUUACCAAGGCUUUGACGGGUAGCCGGCCUGAGAGGGUGACCGGCCACAUUGGGACUGAGAUACGGCCCAGACUCCUACGGGAGGCAGCAGUGGGGAAUAUUGCACAAUGGGCGGAAGCCUGAUGCAGCAACGCCGCGUGCGGGAUGACGGCCUUCGGGUUGUAAACCGCUUUCGCCUGUGACGAAGCGUGAGUGACGGUAAUGGGUAAAGAAGCACCGGCUAACUACGUGCCAGCAGCCGCGGUGAUACGUAGGGUGCGAGCGUUGUCCGGAUUUAUUGGGCGUAAAGGGCUCGUAGGUGGUUGAUCGCGUCGGAAGUGUAAUCUUGGGGCUUAACCCUGAGCGUGCUUUCGAUACGGGUUGACUUGAGGAAGGUAGGGGAGAAUGGAAUUCCUGGUGGAGCGGUGGAAUGCGCAGAUAUCAGGAGGAACACCAGUGGCGAAGGCGGUUCUCUGGGCCUUUCCUGACGCUGAGGAGCGAAAGCGUGGGGAGCGAACAGGCUUAGAUACCCUGGUAGUCCACGCUGUAAACGGUGGGUACUAGGUGUGGGGUCCAUUCCACGGGUUCCGUGCCGUAGCUAACGCUUUAAGUACCCCGCCUGGGGAGUACGGCCGCAAGGCUAAAAUUCAAAGGAAUUGACGGGGCCCCGCACAAGCGGCGGAGCAUGCGGAUUAAUUCGAUGCAACGCGUAGAACCUUACCUGGGUUUGACAUGGAUCGGGAGUGCUCAGAGAUGGGUGUGCCUCUUUUGGGGUCGGUUCACAGGUGGUGCAUGGCUGUCGUCAGCUCGUGUAGUGAGAUGUUGGGUUAAGUCCCGCAACGAGCGCAACCCUUGUUCACUGUUGCCAGCACGUUAUGGUGGGGACUCAGUGGAGACCGCCGGGGUCAACUCGGAGGAAGGUGGGGAUGACGUCAAGUCAUCAUGCCCCUUAUGUCCAGGGCUUCACGCAUGCUACAAUGGCUGGUACAGAGAGUGGCGAGCCUGUGAGGGUGAGCGAAUCUCGGAAAGCCGGUCUCAGUUCGGAUUGGGGUCUGCAACUCGACCUCAUGAAGUCGGAGUCGCUAGUAAUCGCAGAUCAGCAACGCUGCGGUGAAUACGUUCCCGGG